AGCAGCCGCGGCAAUUCCAGCUCCAAUAGCGUAUAUUAAAGUUGUUGCAGUUAAAAAGCUCGUAGUUGAAUUUCGGGAUUGACACAUCGGUCGUGCCUUAAGGGGUAUGAACUGGUGUAGUCAAUUUCUCACCUUCUGGAGAACCGCGAUGCCCUUAAUUGGGUGUCGCGGGGAACCAGGACCUUUACUUUGAAAAAUUAGAGUGUUUAAAGCAGGCAUUUUGCUUGAAUACAUUAGCAUGGAAUAAUAAAAUAGGACGGCAUGAUUCUAUUUUGUUGGUUUCUAGGAUCACCGUAAUGAUUAAUAGGGAUAGUUGGGGGCAUUAGUAUUCAAUUGUCAGAGGUGAAACUCUUGGAUUUAUUGAAGACUAACUACUGCGAAAGCAUUUGCCAAGGAUGUUUUCAUUAAUCAAGAACGAAAGUUAGGGGAUCGAAGACGAUCAGAUACCGUCGUAGUCUUAACCAUAAACUAUGCCGACUAGGAAUCAGACGAUGUUAAUUUUUAAUGUACUCGUUUGGCU
rnacentral:misc_RNA from 1 species